rnacentral:lncRNA from 1 species
CUUCAUCGACUCAUAAUUGAUUGCUGGACAGGUCAAUGGUGAAUUUGAGGCCCGCGAUCCCAUUAUGAUGAAGUACCUUCAGAAGGUGAAAGAUUUUACGGUAAGCUUGAAAUAUUUCGAGAUCUUUCACAUUCUCAGAACUGCAAAUGCUCGAGUCGAUGUACUUUCAUGACUGGCUACUACCACUUUUAACUCGUUG